rnacentral:rRNA from 1 species
GCGGCUUAAUUUGACUCAACGCGGGGUAAUUUACCAGGUAUAACAUGGUAUAAUAUUUUAUCAUGAUAGUGGUGCAUGGCCGUUUCCAAUGGAUGCUGUGAAGUAAUGAUUAAUUUCAACAAGAUGUGAGACCCUCGUUUAGACAGAUGUAGUGAUACAUAUGAAGGAGAGGAUUAAAACAGGUCCGUUAUGCCCUAAGAUAAUCUGGGUUGCACGCGCAAUACAAUAAUAUUUGAUAUUAUAAGGGAUAAUAUAAUGUGUAAGAUAUAUUUGAACAUGGAAUUGCUAGUAAAUUUUAUUUAAUAAGUAGAAUUGAAUGAGUCCCUGUUCUUUGUACACACCGCCCGUCGCUAUCUAAGAUGGUAUUAUCUAUGAACAAAUUUAUAAAGUGAAUAGAUAGUACUAGAUCUGAUAUAAGUCGUAACAUGGUUGCUGUUGGAGAACCAUUAGCAGGAUCAUAA